rnacentral:rRNA from 1 species
GAACGCUGGCGGCGUGCCUAACACAUGCAAGUCGAACGGAGUAAUGAUUUCGGUUAUUACUUAGUGGCGGACGGGUGAGUAACGCGUGAGAAACCUGCCUUUCAGUGGGGGACAACAGUUGGAAACGACUGCUAAUACCGCAUAAUGUAUUUUGGGGGCAUCCCUGAAAUACCAAAGCUUUAUGUGCUGAAAGAUGGUCUCGCGUCUGAUUAGCUAGAUGGCGGGGUAACGGCCCACCAUGGCGACGAUCAGUAGCCGGUCUGAGAGGAUGAACGGCCACAUUGGGACUGAGAUACGGCCCAGACUCCUACGGGAGGCAGCAGUGGGGAAUAUUGGGCAAUGGGGGAAACCCUGACCCAGCAACGCCGCGUGAAGGAAGAAGGCCUUCGGGUUGUAAACUUCUUUUAGCAGGGACGAAGAACGUGACGGUACCUGCAGAAAAAGCAACGGCUAACUACGUG